GUUUGUGUUUACGUCUCGCGUUUUGGACAGGAUCGGCGGCGAUGCAGCGGCUGUUGCACUCGUCGGCGCCGCUGUCGGCGCCGCCGGACAAGGCUACGCUCGGCAAACUGCGGGAAAAGAGCGGCGAAACGUUGAGAAAGUGCGAGAAGGUGCUCGAGAACUGCGCCAAUGACAACGCAAAGGUGGUACCUUGAGGACCGCGAGCAAUACCCGCCGGUGAUCAGUGGAUCUCCCUGGUGGUGCCUGGUCUUUUAAGAAUAAAAAAGGUUCGUGGAGAGUAUUUGUGCUCGGUGAAUAAUUCCGCUGGCGAGGAGACGGUGCAGGUGGCGCCGACAAUGCCGCCAGCCCCAGCAUCAGGUCGUCGACGUCAGAAAGGCGGCCGUGUUCAGACACGUGAGCGUAGCCAUUGCGUGAGGAGGUCGCUGACCUGCCGAGGGUUGCCGUUGAUUGGUGUGGAGAAAAGGACACCCUGGGCAGCGACUCGGAGGUGGAGCAGCAGCACCGCGACUCCUCGUCGUCGUCCGAGACGUCGGUGACGAGCGGCCGCAAGUCGUAUCCUUCGCCGAAGGGUCAGGUGCGCAUCUCCAGCCGCUACAAGCUAACAAUUCCCCGACCUGGCAUCAGGUUUUGUGGCGUCGAAGUGGGCGUCGGCGUGCGAGUCGGGCCGCUUCUCCGAGUUCGCGCCACGAGUCGAGUGCCGCCUCGCCACACCAGGGACACCGCCUUCCAAAGCAGCCUCUAGCCAUUGUCUGUGAUUUGCCCGCCACCCCUUUUCAAAAAUAUAUAAUCACUGCGUUAACU